ensembl:lncRNA
GGAGAUAUGGGGAAGCAUUGAAACUACAAGGACCUACACUACACAGCAAGUGCUGUGGAGGUUCUCAAGCAGCAUGGUAGGAGGAUUUCUUAGAGAGGGUACAAGGAGAAGUGCUUGUUGGGAAAGAGUGUUCUCAAUCUCCUGGGUCUCUCUUUCCUGCUUCUCUGACAAGACUUCAGGGGCCACACAACUACAAGCAGAGACUCUUCCUCCAAUGCCGACAUGGUAACGAGUGGAGGACAGAGGAGCCUCUUAAAGAAGAUCUGUGAGAGCCAGAAAUCUUGCUUGUUUUCACCUAACUAGUUUAUGGACCACAUCUGGGGAGCCAAUCAGAAAGCAGCAUAUGACCCACUGUUGACACAUCACCAAGAAGAACAAGCAGGAAGAGUGAAAAAAAAACAUAUCAGAUGGUUGAUGCUUGUAGGUACAGUACUAAUUAUCACAGUUACAUACAGUGCAUUCGGAAACUAUUCAGACCCCUUGACUUUUUCCACAUUUUGUUACGUUAAAGCCUUAUUCUAAAAUUGAUUUUUUUUAAAUCCCUCAUCAAUCUAAACACAAUACCCCAUAAUGACAAGUAAAAACUGGUUUUUAGAUAUUUUUGCAAAUUCAGACCCUUUACUCAACACUUUGAGGAAGCACCUUUGACAGCGAUUACAGCCUCAAGACUUCUUGGGUAUGACGCUACAAGCUUGGCACAACUGUAUUUGGGGAUUUUCUCCCAUUCUUCUCUGCAGAUCCUCUCAAGUUCUGUCAGGUUGGAUGGGGAGCGCCACUGCCC